AGCGAACGCUGGCGGCAGGCUUAACACAUGCAAGUCGAGCGGGCGUAGCAAUACGUCAGCGGCAGACGGGUGAGUAACGCGUGGGAACGUACCUUUUGGUUCGGAACAACACAGGGAAACUUGUGCUAAUACCGGAUAAGCCCUUACGGGGAAAGAUUUAUCGCCGAAAGAUCGGCCGCGUCUGAUUAGCUAGUUGGUGAGGUAACGGCUCACCAAGGCGACGAUCAGUAGCUGGUCUGAGAGGAUGAUCAGCCACAUUGGGACUGAGACACGGCCCAAACUCCUACGGGAGGCAGCAGUGGGGAAUAUUGGACAAUGGGCGCAAGCCUGAUCCAGCCAUGCCGCGUGAGUGAUGAAGGCCUUAGGGUUGUAAAGCUCUUUUGUCCGGGAAGAUAAUGACUGUACCGGAAGAAUAAGCCCCGGCUAACUUCGUGCCAGCAGCCGCGGUAAU
rnacentral:rRNA from 1 species